rnacentral:rRNA from 1 species
CCUACGGGGGGCUGCAGUGGGGAAUAUUGGACAAUGGGGGCAACCCUGAUCCAGCCAUGCCGCGUGUGUGAAGAAGGCCCUCGGGUUGUAAAGCACUUUCAGUGAGGAAGAACGCCUGGUGGUUAAUACCCAUCAGGAAAGACAUCACUCACAGAAGAAGCACCGGCUAACUCCGUACCAGCAGCCGCGGUAAUACGGAGGGUGCGAGCGUUAAUCGGAAUUACUGGGCGUAAAGCGCGCGUAGGUGGCUUGAUAAGCCGGUUGUGAAAGCCCCGGGCUCAACCUGGGAACGGCAUCCGGAACUGUCAAGCUAGAGUGCAGGAGAGGACGGUAGAAUUCCCGGUGUAGCGGUGAAAUGCGUAGAGAUCGGGAGGAAUACCAGUGGCGAAGGCGGCCUUCUGGACUGACACUGACACUGAGGUGCGAAAGCGUGGGUAGCAAACAGGAUUAGAUACCCUGGUAGUC